CCAACACUAUCACCAGCACCAACAGCAGUUCCAGCACCAGCAACAGAAGACCCAUCACCAGCUCCAGAUCCAUCAUCAGCAUCAGCAACAGAGGCCCUGGGCCACUCUGUCAUUCCAAAAGGACUUGUGGAGCGCUGCUCCUUCCAAAGCCCCCAGAAGUUCAUAAAUGAUCUCCUACAUGGGAUGUAUACCAGGGAAUAUGUGGCAGGCCAUUCAGUGACUGGCCAGUCAUCCAGCAGCUGCACAGAAGGAAAACCUGGCCUAGCCAAACAGGACCUUGUUGAAAUAACAAAUGCUGCAAAGUUGAAGUUCACCUACGUAACUGAUACGAACAUAAAAGCAUUUAUACGACAAAAGCUGAACAAUGCUGCCAAAUUUCAGAAACAAUAAAUUAUCAACUGUUUAAAGAAAGUUAAA